CUCCGUUCACCACCACUCUCUGGGCCCGGCCCUCCAGCCACUUCCUUACCCAGCCAAGAAUGUGUCUGUCCAAGCCACGAUCUGCCAGCUUCUGGAGGAGAAUACUGUGGGAGACAGUGUCAAAGGCUUUGCUGAAGUCUAGGUAGACUACGUCAACAGCCUUUCCCUCAUCCACCAGACGGGUCACUGGAUCAUAGAAGGAGAUCAGGUUGGUCAAGCAGGACCUGCCCUUCGUGAACCCCUGCUGGCUAGGCCUGAUCCCCCGGUUGUCCUGCACGUGCCGCGUGAUCUCCCUCAAGACAAUCUGCUCCAUAAUCUUCCCUGGCACCGAGGUCAGGCUAACAGGCCUGUAGUUCCCCGGAUCCUCCCUGCAGCCCUUCUUGUAGAUGGGAGUCACAAUGGCAAGCCUCCAGUCUUCUGGGACCUCACCCGUCAACAAGGAGCGCUGAUAGGUGAUGGAAAGCGGCUCGACUAUCACCUCUACCAGUUCCCUCAGCACUCUCGGGUGAAUCUCAUCCGGCCCCACGGACUUGUGGCAGUCCAGUUGGAGUAACAGGUCUCUGACUGUUUCUUCCUGAAUUGUGGGGGGUUUAGUCUGCUCCCCAGCCAAGGCUGCCAGGUCAGGGAGUAGAGAAACCUGAGAAUAACCGGUCUGUCUUUUAAAGAUAGAUGUAAAGAAGGCAUUCAGAAUGUCUGCCUUUUCCUUAUCCUCAGUGGUCACAUUGCCAGCCUCAUCCAGUAGAGAAUGGAGAUUCUCCCUGGUCCAUCUUGUACAUCUACAAGAUUCUCAAACAUCUCCAGGCACAGUGACUGAUCCACCCCUUACUGUGCAGCCCAAUACAGUACAUGACUACUCUUUAGGAAAAGAACUUUUUAC
ensembl:lncRNA